rnacentral:rRNA from 1 species
UACGUAGGCAGCAAGCGUUGUUCGGAUUUACUGGGCGUAAAGGGUGUGUAGGCGGUUCUUUAAGUUUGGUGUGAAAUCUCCCGGCUUAACCGGGAGGGUGCGCCGAAUACUGAGGGACUAGAGUACGGGAGAGGAAAGUGGAAUUCCUGGUGUAGCGGUGAAAUGCGUAGAUAUCAGGAGGAACACCGGUGGUGUAGACGGCUUUCUGGACCGUAACUGACGCUGAGACACGAAAGCGUGGGUAGCAAACAGG